rnacentral:rRNA from 1 species
UGGGGAAUCUUGCACAAUGGAGGAAACUCUGAUGCAGCGACGCCGCGUGAGCGAAGAAGCCUUUCGGGGUGUAAAGCUCUUACGCCAGGGACGAUAAUGACGGUACCUGGAGAAGCAGCUGCGGCUAACUACGUGCCAGCAGCCGCGGUAAUACGUAGGCAGCAAGCGUUGUUCGGAAUUACUGGGCGUAAAGGGUGCGUAGGCGGUUUUCUAAGUUCGGUGUGAAAUCUCCCGGCUUAACUGGGAGGGUGCGCCGAAGACUGGGAAGCUGGAGUGUGGGAAAGGCAGGCGGAAUUCCUGGUGUAGCGGUGAAAUGCGUAGAUAUCAGGAGGAACACCGGCGGUGUAGACGGCUUGCUAGACCAUAACUGACGCUGAGGCACGAAAGCGUGGGUAGCAAACA